UGUAUAUGUAUAUAUGUAUAUGUAUAUAUGUAUAUAUGAAUGAUUGUUUCACUGUGUGUAUGUUUUUCAUUGAAUAUUGUGAGGGACAGGAAUCUAUUAUGUCAUUUUUAAAGUUAGACUAUGAAUGCUGUUUUGUCUUUCAGAAAAGCUAAUCUCCUUUUUUGGUGUGCAGUGUCCUCAUUUAUCAUAUUCCUGGGAAAGCCCUUUGUACUUCCCCCAGAGAAGGCGGAGAGGAGUAAUGUCUCAUCACACAGAUGAAUACAUCUUGUGCAAAGUGCAGAAUAGCAUCUGCUGUAAGAGAGAGCUCACUCGGGACUGGGCUGCUGUGGGAGAGCUUGCUUUACUCCAGUGAGCUUGCUUUACUUGCUUUACUCUGCAGGUGUUUCCAGUGCAGAGAGGCUGUGGCUAGAAACUUGUUGGCACCAACUUGUUGUUUCUCUGUGUUUGGGAUAAUCUGUAUUGCAUAGAUGAUGCUUUAUUUUGUAAAAGGAUAUAAUGCCUUUUAUGGUAAAAAAAAAUGUUGUUCAAUUGUGGCAUGGCUUUUUGGAGCAAGCUGAAGAAAUACGAGUUCUAAAAAGGACAAGAGGGACUCCCUUUUGAGAUUGUUGAUGUGAAAUAAAUAUCUGUUUUAAUACUCAGUCUUAGGUACUAGUCUGUGUAGAUUCUUACUUUACAGUCCCUGCUUUAAGGAACAAUCUUGAAUACUUUUUUUUAAAAUCCUCUUUCAUGCUUUUGUAUUGCAUUUGCAAAAUUCUGGCUGAUGGUUUGAGCAUUUCCACAGAGUCAACAGUGGAAAGCUUCAUUCAGGUUGUCCCUCCAAGUGAUUGGCUAUGCUGCGCAUUAACCAGAAAUGCUGACACAGCAAGGGAAACAGUAAUAAAUGGGAUGCUUUCCAGGGAUGGUCGCUAAGGCAAGGCAAGCACAGCCAAAAUCCAGAAGAAAUUUGUACUCAGGCACUCAAGAUGUAGUCUGGCCAGAUAUGCUAUUAACAGCGAGUAGCCAAUUGUAAUUAAACUAAUUGGGACCUGGGCAAUUUGAACUGCCAGACUGUCUGUUAAAAAGAGUGAACAAUUUUAAUACAUCUUAGAAUUAAGGGCUGUGAAGGGUGUAAGUGAUAUAAAUUUCAGUGAAAUUCUCACUAAAGAAAUAAAUAUUUUUUUUUGAAAAAAAGAAAGGUCAUACAAGAAUAUUUGUUUAAAAAAAAACUUAUUUAGAGUGAAAACAUUAUGUUUGCCUUUUGAACAAUGUUCCAGUUCCAGAGGCUCAGGGAUGUCUGAGCUCAGCUGUGUGUUUCUUCCAUGAUCUGAAGACAGGUACUGAACGGACACUGGUAAAGGAAGAGGCCUGUCUGUCUGCCUGUCUGUCUGUUUGUCUGUCUGUCUUGUUUUCAUUUUCAGGAGUGACUAGUUGGAAAGGAGGAGAAUGACUGACAGAAUGACUGUUCUGUGUUUUCACUGUUGCUGCUUUUCUGAUAAACACGUUUUAAAGAAGCCAGGUAUAGCGCAUGGGUGGGGAGAGGAAUUUCUGGUGUGUGAAGACUCCUUUUAUUACUGUUCUUGGUUUUUAGUAAUCUCCAGUCACCCCUGCACCAGAGAGUUUGUGACUAGGCCAAUGACCUGGAUCAGUUUUUCAUAAUUUUUUAUUUGUUUAUUUUAUGUGUAUGGGCGUUUUGUCUGCAUCUGUGUCCAUAUGUCACAUGCAUGCCUGGUGCCCUGCAGAGGCCAGAAGAAUGUAUUGGAUCCUCUGCAACUGGAGUUACAGAUAAGCCACCACGUGAAUGCCGAGAAUCGAAUCCAUGUCUUCCAGAAGAGCAAUCCAUGCUUCUAAAUGUCGAGCCAUCGCCCCAGCCCUGUGUUUUUAAGUGUACCAGGAUUUCUGAGUUUUAGGAGUCUUUCAUGGCCAUUCCUUCAGUGGCUGGCAAGAUAUCCACCUCUCUCUCCAUGUUCCAUGCCAGUGACAUCUUAGCUGCUAGAGUGUGGAGCUGGCCUAUGGGAGUCAAGUAUUGGUGAUGUGACCAGUUCAUGCAGGGGAAACUUGAACAUUCACAGUUACAUUUUACAGGGCUGGGGAGCUGGCUCAGCCAGUGAAGUGCUUGCUGUUUAAGCUUGAGGACCUGAAUCGAUGUGCCCAGUAUUCAUGUAAUAAGACAGGCACUGCUGUAAUACCUGUGCUGGGCAAGCCGGGCAGAGAUGGUUUUAUCCCUGGAGCUGGCUGGCCAGCCAUCUACAACAGAACUCCAGCUUCAAUGAGAGACCCUGUUUCAA